rnacentral:rRNA from 1 species
UACGUAGGGGGCAAGCGUUGUCCGGAUUUAUUGGGCGUAAAGAGCGUGUAGGCGGCCUGACAGGUCUGCUGUGAAAACUCGAGGCUCAACCUCGAGACGUCGGCGGAAACCAUCUGGCUAGAGUCCGGAAGAGGAGAGUGGAAUUCCUGGUGUAGCGGUGAAAUGCGCAGAUAUCAGGAGGAACACCAAUGGCGAAGGCAGCACUCUGGGACGUGACUGACGCUGAGACGCGAAAGCGUGGGGAGCAAACAGG